rnacentral:rRNA from 1 species
GGCCUGAACGCUGGCGGCGUGGCUAAGACAUGCAAGUCGCACGGUGUAGCAAUACACAGUGGCGAACGGGUGAGUAAUGAAUCGCUAAUGUACCCCGGACUCUGGGAUAGCUACCCGAAAGGGUAGGUAAUACCAGAUGAUAUGCAGCUGUCGCAUGACAGUUGCCUCGAAAGGUCCGCCGGUCGUGGGAGCGAGGCGUAUUUCGUAUCAGUCUUGGUUGGUGACGGUAACGGCUCAACGAAGGCGACGACGCGUAGCCGGACUGGAGAGGUU